CACACGCCUGGUGGGCGGUGCCACCCGAUCACAAGGGCUGGCAAGGCUUUCGGAGCCUGGGGAGCGGACACCCGCACAAAGGGUGGCCAGGCGGCCCGGUCCGGGUUUUUUCUUCCUUCUUUCACACGCCUGGUGGGCGGUGCCACCCGAUCACAAGGGCUGGCAAGGCUUUCGGAGCCUGGGGAGCGGACACCCGCACAAAGGGUGGCCAGGCGGCCCGGUCCGGGUUUUUUCUUCUUUCUUUCACACGCCUGGUGGGCGGUGCCACCCGAUCACAAGGGCUGGCAAGGCUUUCGGAGCCUGGGGAGCGGACACCCGCACAAAGGGUGGCCAGGCGGCCCGGUCCGGGUUUUUUCUUCUUUUCUUCUUUCUUUCACACGCCUGGUGGGCGGUGCCACCCGAUCACAAGGGCUGGCAAGGCUUUCGGAGCCUGGGGAGCGGACACCCGCACAAAGGGUGGCCAGGCGGCCCGGUCUGGGUUUUUUCUUCUUUUCUUCUUUCUUUCACACGCCUGGUGGGCGGUCCCACCCGAUCACAAGGGCUGGCAAGGCUUUCGGAGCCUGGGGAGCGGACACCCGCACAAAGGGUGGCCCAGCGGCCCGGUCCGGGUUUUUUCUUCUUUUCUUCUUUCUUUCACGCGCCUGGUGGGCGGUGCCACCCGAUAACAAGGGCUGGCAAGGCUUUCGGAGCCUGGGGAGCGGACACCCUCACAAAGGGUGGCCAGGCGGCCCGGUCCGGAGUUUUUCUUCUUUUCUUCUUUCUUUCACACGCCUGGUGGGCGGUGCCACCCGAUCACAAGGGCUGGCAAGGCUUUCGGAGCCUGGGGAGCGGACACCCGCACAAAGGGUGGCCAGGCGGCCCGGUCCGGGUUUUUUUCUUCUUUUCUUCUUUCUUUCACACGCCUGGUGGAAAAUUUACCUUCUCGCUGUUGACUAUCAAUCUAGAUUUGUUGAGAUUUCUUUGUUAAACAGAACAAAAUCAAACAAUGUCAUUACUCACGUGAAAUCUUUCUUUGCCCGUCAUGUCAUCCCAGAGGUCCUCAUGUCUGAUAAUGGGCCACAGUGUUCAGGUCAAAUCUUUACAGACUUCGCAGCAGCGUACGGCUUUAAACACAUCACAAGCAGCCCCAAGUUUCUGUAAAGUAAUGGAGAAGCAGAACGUGCUGUGCAGACUGUAAAAAAUCUUCUGAAAAAAGCAGCUGAUCCUUAUCUAGCUCUUCUUGCCUAUAG
ensembl:lncRNA